rnacentral:rRNA from 1 species
UAUCACUAAGCGGAGGAAAAGAAACUAACAAGGAUUCCCUUAGUAACUGCGAGUGAACAGGGAUGAGCCCAGCACCGAAGCCUGUGGUCAUUUGAUCACUAGGCAAUGUGGUGUUUAGGUUAUCUCGCAGAGGCACUGCUCCACCCUAAGUCCAAAAAUGAGUACGGUAGUACGGACAUGGCCCAAAGAGGGUGAAAGGCCCGUGGGGGUGGAGAUCAGGCAGGCCAGUGCUUCUCUGAGCAAACCUUUGAGUCGGGUUGUUUGAGAUUGCAGCCCAAAGUGGGUGGUAAACUCCAUCCAAGGCUAAAUACGUGCACGAGUCCGAUAGCGAACAAGUACCGUGAGGGAACGUUGAAAAGUACUUUGAAGAGAGAGUAAACAGUGCGUGAAACCGCUCAGAGGUAAACGGGUGGAGUUGAACUGCGAACCCUGAGAAUUCAACUGGUGAGUGUGGUAUGAGCUUGGCAUGAUGGUUGGCUCUGCGGGUCUGCUUAGCUGCAGGUCUUCGCCUUCUGGUGGAGAUGCGCGAUACACUUGCCAAGUGUUGCGCGCUCGUUGAGUUACUCGGACAUGCUUGCCAGUGCACUUUCUCGGGGUGUUCACCACGACCGGCGCCGCUACUUGUCCAGUAUGGUUAAACCGGUCUUGCUUGGUCCUUGUGGCUUUGCUUGAUCGGGACGGCAGGUAACUCGUUGACUUGUGUGUUGGCCUCGGUUGACAUGCGCUUGGUUUUCGAGUGUAAUCAGCUGACUGUAUUGGUGCUAUGUGGUGCGUCGGAGACGGCGGCUUGUGGUGUGUGCCUGCGUGCCUAUUUGCUGACGGAACCGGGCUUGGUUGUUAUGUUGCCUGUUCUGCAGGCCUGGUGAUGGCUCGGUUUCGCUUGGUGGAUGGGAGCGUGUGUGACACUUAUCAGGGCCUAUAGUCUGUGGUGUUGUGGUAGACUAUCCACCUGACCCGUCUUGAAACACGGACCAAGGAGAGUAACAUGUGCGCGAGUCAUGGGGUGUUACGAAACCCAAAGGCGAAGUGAAAGUAAAGACUUGACUUGUUCGAGUUGAGGUGAGAUCCUGUCGUUUCUCAUGCGCGGUACUUCCAAGCAUUCGAGCGAUGGGCGCAUCACCGGCCCGUCCCAUGGUGUGGUCACUGUCUUCGGAUUGGUGCGUCACCGGGGCGGAGCAUGAGCGCACAUGUUGAGACCCGAAAGAUGGUGAACUAUGCUUGCGCAGGUUGAAGCCAGAGGAAACUCUGGUGGAGGACCGUAGCGAUUCUGACGUGCAAAUCGAUCGUCAAACGUGAGUAUAGGGGCAAAAGACUAAUCGAACCAUCUAGUAGCUGGUUA